rnacentral:rRNA from 1 species
AUUGAACGCUGGCGGCAUGCUUUACACAUGCAAGUCGAACGGUAACAGGCCGCAAGGUGCUGACGAGUGGCGAACGGGUGAGUAAUGCAUCGGAACGUGCCCAGUCGUGGGGGAUAACGCAGCGAAAGCUGCGCUAAUACCGCAUACGAUCUAUGGAUGAAAGCGGGGGACCGUAAGGCCUCGUGCGAUUGGAGCGGCCGAUGUCAGAUUAGGUAGUUGGUGGGGUACAGGCUCACCAAGCCAACGAUCUGUAGCUGGUCUGAGAGGACGACCAGCCACACUGGGACUGAGACACGGCCCAGACUCCUACGGGAGGCAGCAGUGGGGAAUUUUGGACAAUGGGCGCAAGCCCGAUCCAGCAAUGCCGCGUGCAGGAAGAAGGCCUUCGGGUUGUAAACUGCUUUUGUACGGAACGAAACGGCUCUCACUAAUACUGGGGGCUAAUGACGGUACCGUAAGAAUAAGCACCGGCUAACUACGUGCCAGCCGCCGCCGUAACAC